GACGAACGCUGGCGGCGUGCUUAACACAUGCAAGUCGAACGGUAAGGCCCUUCGGGGUACACGAGUGGCGAACGGGUGAGUAACACGUGGGUGAUCUGCCCUGCACUUCGGGAUAAGCCUGGGAAACUGGGUCUAAUACCGGAUAGGACUCCUGGCUUCAUGGUUGGGGGUGGAAAGCUUUUGCGGUGUGGGAUGGGCCCGCGGCCUAUCAGCUUGUUGGUGGGGUAAUGGCCUACCAAGGCGACGACGGGUAGCCGGCCUGAGAGGGUAACCGGUCACACUGGGACUGAGAUACGGCCCAGACUCCUACUGGAGGCAGCAGUGGGGAAUAUUGCACAAUGGGCGCAAGCCUGAUGCAGCGACGCCGCGUGAGGGAUGACGGCCUUCGGGUUGUAAACCUCUUUCAGCUAUGACGAAGCGCAAGUGACGGUAGUAGCAGAAGAAGGACCGGCCAACUACGUGCCAGCCGCCGCAGUAA
rnacentral:rRNA from 1 species